rnacentral:rRNA from 1 species
UACAGAGGUCCCAAGCGUUGUUCGGAUUCACUGGGCGUAAAGGGUGCGUAGGUGGUCGGGUAAGUCUGAUGUGAAAGCUCGAAGCUUAACUUCGAAAUGGCAUUGGAUACUAUCCGGCUUGAGGAUCGGAGGGGGGACUGGAAUUCUCGGUGUAGCAGUGAAAUGCGUAGAUAUCGAGAGGAACACCAGUGGCGAAGGCGAGUCCCUGGACGACUCCUGACACUGAGGCACGAAAGCUAGGGGAGCAAACAGG